UGCAUGGUGGCUUAGUGGUUAUAACACUUGCUUCUCAACUCCGGGGUUGGGGGUUUGAAUCCCGCCUCCGCCA